rnacentral:rRNA from 1 species
UACGAGUGCUCCAAGCGUUAUCCGGAAUCAUUGGGCGUAAAGGGUGUGUAGGUGGUUGUGUUAGUCUUGUGUUAAAUUCUUCGGCUUAACCGGGGGCAUGCAUGGGAAACGGCACAACUAGAGGAUGCGAGAGGUGAAUGGAACUCAUGGAGUAGGGGUGAAAUCCGUUGAUAUCAUGGGGAACACCAAAUGCGAAGGCAAUUCACUGGCGCACUUCCUGACACUGAGACACGAAAGCGUAGGUAGCGAAUGGG